rnacentral:rRNA from 1 species
UACGUAGGGGGCCAGCGUUGCUCGGAAUUACUGGGCGUAAAGGGUCCGUAGGCGGUGUGGCAAGUCGGGAGUGAAAUCUCUGGGCUUAACCCAGAAGCUGCUUCCGAAACUGCCGUGCUAGAGUGUGAGAGAGGCGAGUGGAAUUGCGGGUGUAGCGGUGAAAUGCGUAGAUAUCCGCAGGAACAUCCGAGGCGAAAGCGGCUCGCUGGAUCACAACUGACGCUGAGGGACGAAAGCUAGGGGAGCAAACAG